rnacentral:rRNA from 1 species
UACGUAGGGUGCGAGCGUUGUCCGGAAUUAUUGGGCGUAAAGAGCUCGUAGGCGGCUUGUCGCGUCGGUUGUGAAAGCCCGGGGCUUAAACUCCGGGUCUGCAGUCGAUACGGGCAGGCUAGAGUGUGGUAGGGGAGAUCGGAAUUCCUGGUGUAGCGGUGAAAUGCGCAGAUAUCAGGAGGAACACCGGUGGCGAAGGCGGAUCUCUGGGCCAUUACUGACGUGAGGAAGCGAAAGCGUGGGGAGCGAACAGG